CCUGCCCACUGAAUAUAAAUUUUAAAGGGCCGCGGUACACUGACCGUGCUAAGGUAGCAUAAUCAAUAGUCUUUUAAUUGGAGACUGGAAUGAACGGCUAGAUAAAAAGUUUACUGUCUAUAUAAUAAAUCUUGAAUUUUACUUUUAAGUGAAAAGGCUUAAAUAUAUUAAAGUGACGAUAAGACCCUAUAAAACUUUAUAAUAAAUUAUGAUUAUCUUAAAUUUUAAAUCAAAAUAUAUUUCAUAUAUUACUAUUUAGUUGGGGCGACUGAGAUAUAAAAAAUCUGUCUUUAGUAAAAAAUACUUAUAAUUAGAUCAAGAUCCUUUAUUAAGGAUUAAAAGGCUAAGUUACUUUAGGGAUAACAGCGUGAUUUUUCUUAAGAGUUCUUAUCGACAGAAUAAGUUGCGACCU
rnacentral:rRNA from 1 species